rnacentral:lncRNA from 1 species
CUCGCUUCUCGCAUCUUCUCAUCCACCAGGGCCACCCCCAACUUCUCUCGAAUAACUUUAUUCUUAAUCUUAUCUAAUCUGGUGAGCCCGCACAUCCACCUGAGCAUCCUCAUCUCCGCAACCUUCAUUCUCUUCACAACUCCUCACCGGGGCAUCAGGACUUCUCCUCCGCACAUGCCCGAACCACCUCAGCGUCGCUUCUCGCAUCCUCUCAUUCACCGGGGCCACCCCCACCUUCUCUCGAAUAACUUCAUUCUUAAUCAUAUCUAACUUGGUGAGCCCGCACAUCCACCAGAGCAUCCUCAUCUCCGCAACCUUCAUUCUCUGAACAUGAGNNN